rnacentral:lncRNA from 1 species
AAUGAAAGAAAUAUUUAGUAAGCGCAGGUCAUUUAAGAAACCCCUGUGUGUUACUGUUAUGGCAGUUCAAUUUAUAUAUGUAUGCAUGUUGUAUUUUUGGCUAUGCCCACUGAGUAUUUUUAUACUCAGCCCUGCAUGUAUUUCUAAAUGUGCAGGUUGAGCAGUUGAUGGAAUGGAAUGAUGUUGAGCGGGUGUUCCUUUGACAUUUCAAGAAAUGUAACCUUGAGUAUACAUCUUCAUAUGUAUAUCUCACACGUUUUCCGCUGCAAAACACUUUGAUUAGGAUAACUUUAUGUUAUGAAGUUGUGAUACGUGUUAUUGGGUAACCA